ensembl:lncRNA
CCACAGUGUUUAAGUGAUUGAGUCCACACACGACACCCGCAAGCCUCUUCGGGUGAGAAAGGUAGCACAAGCCAACUUCCGUGUCAUCUAUGCUAGCUGGGAGGAAAUGUGACACACAGCGCUCGUGUAUGAGAGGUCACGACUGGACUCACGUUCGAAUCGUGUAAUGUGGGCAGCAGUCAGACGCGACUAGACUUCAGUUGCAGGAAAUCAAACAUGUUUGAUUUUUAAGCACGAUUUUGAACGCACAGGAGAAACGUGGGUGAUUUUACCGUCCCCAAAGCGAGCACACAGAAAACAGCAGCCAAUGACAGAGUGAAAUAAAGGCAGAAAAACACCGCAGCGCCUCCCUUUUCAUUUCUCUGUCAAAACAUCUGCACAAACUACACAUUUUCAUGACCGCAGCCUCACGCAAAUCAGCUCAACUUUACAUCACGCGAAAUACUUUUUCUAACUACAUUUCAACCGCAAAUAGAGUUUAACGGCGGUACUUACGGAGUUUGGACACGAACUUCCCAGCUAUUUUCUCCGUUAGCCUAGCUUCUUUCCGCUUUCUCUCCGCUUUCCGCCGCGGUCGCCUCCGUGUCUCCUCCACCACCUCCUCUGUCUCCUCCGUGUCGCGGUUGAUGGUCCAUUUCCUUUUCUUCUUAAAUCCAAACAAAUAUGUCCCGCAUCUUCAUGUCGCCGACGUUUAUCUCCAUUUUGACAAAACUAUAGCGAAGUUGAAGGCUGCAGCAUUGAACGGAGCUCACGUGAUACUGUUGAUACUGUUCACACUAUUGACCAAUGAGGACGCGCGCAUGUUUCCCACGCCCACAAACAGAGAGGCCUGUCUUCGAAGAGGAAGUAGUCUCUACAUUCAACCCGCGGUUAACGAGACGAGACAUAGACGACGACGGGAAAGGAAAUUGUCAACACUUGGUUUAAAGGCUUAACGGCAAUACGAAGUGUGGGCAGCGGCGUUUUCACUAAAUGACAUUGUGUGCCAUCGAUACUCAUCCUGCAAAGAGCUCCCAUCCUGCUGUCAUGUCUGAGAAACGAAUGGAAGAAGCUCAUUGUCCACAGGACACUCCUCAACAGAUAAAGCUCCACCGAAGAAAAACACCCUGGCAGGCAGCAGAGGUUAGGGCGGUAGAGAGGCAAAUGAUCCAGUUCAUCCGAUCUUGUACGGUACCAACGAAGAGAGACUGUGAGAAAUGUUUAAGAGCUGAACCUGAAGCUCUCAGUAACAGAAACUGGCAGAACUUGAAAUUUUACGUCUACAACAGGAUUACAGCCUUAAAAAGGAAAACACACCAUAAAUAGUAUGGUGAAUCCAAAGAAAACUGUUCAACCAAAGUUUUGUUUUUUCUUAGUCUGAAUAAUAUCCACCCAGUUCUAGCCUCGUGGGAGUUCUCCUUUAUAUUCCUCCUUUAGAUUAUGUGUGUAUGAAUCAGGUCUCCCAUAGAAGCUAUCUAAAGCUUAUUGAGGGAGCCUGUGUACAUACAAAACAAAACAAAUACUGAGCCUUCUGUUCUUUGCAUGUGUGUGUACGUUUAUACACAAUGUUAUUGUCAUUGCAGAAUUUUAUUGUAUGCAAUGUAAACAAUUUCUCUGACCUUGUCAUUAAAAAAGUGUCAUGCAGGUCAAACCAGUUUGAUUUCUUGGUGGGGUCAUGUGACAUGUU